AGACCCGAAACCCGGUGAUCUAGCCAUGGGCAGGUUGAAGGUUGGGUAACACUAACUGGAGGACCGAACCGACUAAUGUUGAAAAAUUAGCGGAUGACCUGUGGCUGGGGGUGAAAGGCCAAUCAAACCGGGAGAUAGCUGGUUCUCCCCGAAAGCUAUUUAGGUAGCGCCUCGUGAAUUCAUCUCCGGGGGUAGAGCACUGUUUCGGCUAGGGGGCCAUCCCGGCUUACCAACCCGAUGCAAACUGCGAAUACCGGAGAAUGUUAUCACGGGAGACACACGGCGGGUGCUAACGUCCGUCGUGAAGAGGGAAACAACCCAGACCGCCAGCUAAGGUCCCAAAGUCAUGGUUAAGUGGGAAACGAUGUGGGAAGGCCCAGACAGCCAGGAUGUUGGCUUAGAAGCAGCCAUCAUUUAAAGAAAGCGUAAUAGCUCACUGGUCGAGUCGGCCUGCGCGGAAGAUGUAACGGGGCUAAACCAUGCACCGAAGCUGCGGCAGCGAACGUAUCACUUAAAGCGAUUCAGCGGAUGACGAUUGACGGAGCGAAGCGACGUCAAAGCGUAUACAAAGUCGAGUCGGUUUAAGGAUACGUUCGUUGGGUAGGGGAGCGUUCUGUAAGCCUGCGAAGGUGGCCUGUGAGGGUUGCUGGAGGUAUCAGAAGUGCGAAUGCUGACAUAAGUAACGAUAAAGCGGGUGAAAAGCCCGCUCGCCGGAAGACCAAGGGUUCCUGUCCAACGUUAAUCGGGGCAGGGUGAGUCGACCCCUAAGGCGAGGCCGAAAGGCGUAGUCGAUGGGAAACGGGUUAAUAUUCCCGUACUUGGUGUUACUGCGAAGGGGGGACGGAGAAGGCUAUGUUGGCCGGGCGACGGUUGUCCCGGUUUAAGCGUGUAGGUGUGUGUUCCAGGUAAAUCCGGUUCACUUUAACACUGAGGCGUGACGACGAGGCACUACGGUGCUGAAGCAACAAAUGCCCUGCUUCCAGGAAAAGCCUCUAAGCAUCAGGUAACAUCAAAUCGUACCCCAAACCGACACAGGUGGUCAGGUAGAGAAUACCAAGGCGCUUGAGAGAACUCGGGUGAAGGAACUAGGCAAAAUGGUGCCGUAACUUCGGGAGAAGGCACGCUGACAUGUAGGUGAAGUGAUUUACUCAUGGAGCUGAAGUCAGUCGAAGAUACCAGCUGGCUGCAACUGUUUAUUAAAAACACAGCACUGUGCAAACACGAAAGUGGACGUAUACGGUGUGACGCCUGCCCGGUGCCGGAAGGUUAAUUGAUGGGGUCAGCGCAAGCGAAGCUCCUGAUCGAAGCCCCGGUAAACGGCGGCCGUAACUAUAACGGUCCUAAGGUAGCGAAAUUCCUUGUCGGGUAAGUUCCGACCUGCACGAAUGGCGUAAUGAUGGCCAGGCUGUCUCCACCCGAGACUCAGUGAAAUUGAACUCGCUGUGAAGAUGCAGUGUACCCGCGGCAAGACGGAAAGACCCCGUGAACCUUUACUAUAGCUUGACACUGAACAUUGAGCCUUGAUGUGUAG
rnacentral:rRNA from 1 species